CGGCAGGGGCAGUGGAUGGCUGGGCAGCUGGCUGUGUCACCGGCUGGAGGGUCCUUCUGCCCCAGGACAGAUCGAAGGGAGAGGAGGUCUCGAUGCUGGGUCACCUGAUGGAAUCAUCCACCCACCCCCAGGCAUCAGCCUCUUGCAGUUGAGGCCCCUGCACACCCUGGCAAUGUCUGAAGCAUCCAGAUGUUUGAAGGCGACAGUGGGGUCCCUGUCCAGCAUGUGGUGUGCAGCUGGGCAGGAAGCGGCAGGCAGGGCAGCUGGGACAAGCACCCAAGCUGCUCCCAGGAGAGCCAGCAGGGUGGCAGGGACCUGGCAGCAGGACAGCUGGUCACCAGAGGCACCAGUGACCCAACUACCCACCACAGAGACACGGGGAAUUUCAAAGGCCGAGGCCCAGUGUCUGCUGUCGCCCUUGUGUCUGUCCAGUGGGCCUGUUGGACUGAAGGACAUUGUCUCUUCGGCCACUCUGCCCAUGGCAAGAAGAAAGCUGGUUUCCUUUAUUCAUUUCCACGGAUUUGGUUCUCUUUUGCUAAUUUAGUGAUUUUGCUGCUUAUGCGGUUUUCAUUGUGAGUCACCUGCAGAAUUCUCUUUGGAAGUAGGUGGGGCAUAAAUUAUAAAUAUAAAUUCUCUUUGACUCCCUCAGCAUUUAGCACAAUGCCUGGCUUUGUGCUCCGGGCGGGUCCUUGUUUGUUGACUGUGCCGGUAAAUGGCUCCCCCCUCUUCCGCCCUCCGCCCACCACCCUGGCCCUCCCGGCAGCCAGAUGCUGAGAGCAGGCACGCUUCCCUUCUUCUCUCUCCUCCGCUCUCCCCCUCAAGAUUCCUUUUUCCUUCUGCUCUGCCAGCGAGGGAGGAUGCCAGGCUCAGAGAGGGCGAAGAGUCACCCAGCAAACGGUGGGACCACGUCAGCCUGCCCACCCAACCACGGCACAUGGCACGUGACACGUGGCAUGUGGCAGUAAGUCUGCCUUUCAGUCCAGAGACCUGCGGGAGUUAGUGCUGAGAUCCGCUCCCUAGGCCGGAAAUAAAGGGGAUCACCGUGAGCCACAGUGAAGGAGUUGGGGAUGUGACACCAUGUGUCCAUCAGGAGGGCGGCAGCAGAGUGCACUGCCUGUGCCAGCCAGACCCAAGCGCUUAUUAUUUGCCAGGCACUAGGUCUCGAAGAUGGCAGCGUGGCAUCUGCACCUGGCAGGCCCGACCAAACGCACAGAUUCACUCACACACACAGAGCCAGAGCCGCAGCGGAGACGCCCAUGAAUAAAACAUCUUUCCAUUGAAUCAAGAGAAGACGAAUCAGAAAUUGCCCUGUGAUGGGACUGAAUCUGCGAUUUAAAGAGGGGAGCACAUGCACAUUUACUUCUGCUCCUCGCUGCAGGCCCUCCAGGCCCACCCCCCACCCCCUAGGGUGCUGUCACACUCAGAGAUCUGAAUUAAACAGAUUCAAUGGCGCCUUGGGUUUGGGAGGCGAGAAAAGGAGAAGGUGGAAGAGUAGGUUGUAGAAUAAAUUAAAAAGAGAGCAAAGGUUAGAGAGGAAAGUGGGUCAGGCAGAAAGAUCUGGAAUGUUCCAGCUGGAACAAUCAUUACUAGCCAUGCAAAGGGGGCGCGUUUUUUGAAUUCUUCCAGUGCCAGGCGGUGUUCUAAGCCUUUUUUUUUUUUUUUUUUUU